GAGGAAUGAGUGGUUUAAUAAGUGAUAGGACUCAAACUGGAUCCAUGCAGUUCUUUUCAAUAAAAUGUACAUCUCUGUACUUGCAAAGAGCAGUCAAAGAAAGAAAUAGCAUUAAAGAAUGAAGCGUUGAAUCAGAAAGCAUCAAUGCAAAUCCAGCUUCAUGUGAAAACAGAGGAGCUUGAGAAGUCAAGUUUGGAUCGUUUUAGAUUGCAAGAGAGAAAUAUGGCUUUGGCUAAAGAGCUCACAGCAUUAAAAUUGAACACUGAAAUGACAAUGGAAAACCGAACUUUGUGUUUGGUGGAAUAAUGUCUUUAAUAAUUUAGGAGAUGGAAUUAUGAGUUUGGAUUUUGAACAAGCUGAGGACAACGAGCCAGUAUUGAACAUAUCCUAACCUUCAUUUUCUCAAUGUUGGUUUUCAUUUAGAUUCGUCCUUUGUUUUCAUUGAACUAGGGGAAAAAGUUAAAAAUUCGCAUGAAUUAAGAAGUAAAGUUUGAAUAAGCUUUGGACUAAUUAAAAGUUUACAUUUCUAGGGUAUGGUCAUGGACAAUGAUUGAAAUUGAAUACCAUAUCAGUAAAGGAGAAUAUGAUCCCUGAUGUUAUUAUUAUUUUUUUGUUUCUUUUUGUCCAGACUUAAAAUCUGUGUACCUAUAGCGUUCCUAGCGUGGGCGAUGCUGGUUCCUGUCAACUGAACAAGCACUGGGCUAGAAACGGCUGGGAUAAAAAACAUAACUUCCAGCGACAUUGAUAAGCUCUCAGUUUCGAAUGUCCAGCGUGGAUCUGAAAGGUUUUAGUCACACAGAGUAGCUGCUUAUGCAUUUAUCUUCUGGACAUGCUAAAUUUUGAUGAGGGAGUAUGAAAAAGUUGCCUCAAUGAGAUUACAAUUUGUUGCAGCAGAAAAGCGUUGUCCUGAUCAAUUUUCGGUGCUUGUUUGAAACAUUCCUCCAGAUCCUGAUGAAUCUGUUAGUGAGCUCGUUGAGCACUUCUUUCUGGUCAAUCAUCCGGAUAACUAUCUUACUCACCAGGUUGUUUAUAAUGCAAACAAAUUAGCAAAGUUGGUUACAAAGAAGAGUAAGCUGCAGAAUUGGCUCGUCUGUUAUCAAAAUAAACUUGACAGAACUUCAAAAAGACCUGAAAUGAAGGGAUUAGUUUUAAACUGAUGUGCUUGCAGUAUCUUUAUCAGUACCUCUUAAUGCGACAUCACUUCUCCAUUUCAAUUAUCAUUUUUGUUUUCUUUUUUGUGUAAUCUCAUUUUCUUUUAAAGUUUACAUUUCUAAAGAAUAAGCUUUGGACUAAUUAAGAAGUAAUGUUUGAAUUGCACCCUCUUUGGUGUGUCGGUAUGUUAGGAAUUAGGAUCAGGCCUUAAUUAUGAGAGUUAUGUUAGGUACUGGGUUUGGCUCGUUAAUGUCUCCUCUAACGGAUUUGCCCAUAAGCAUAUUGUAACCAAUUGUCCGAUUCGCCUAUUUAUUGUUCUAAGGCCCAAACUCAGUACCUAACAGAUUGCAUCAAGAUGGGCCAAGGAAUCAAGUUGGCAGGCCUUGUUACAGUACGCAUUGGUAUUUAGUUCAAAACUUGAUUCGUAUGGAAAGCUGAUAGAAUAGUUGAUAUAAACUAGGGGGAGUUAUUUGGCCUGGCAGAGAAGCUAGAGGGAGUUGUUUGGUUGGGAAUUCAGUUUUGGGUGGUACAUUAGGCUCUCUUAUUCUUAGGAAAAAUACUGUUGUUUCUCAUGAAUAGCUGUUGUUUAAAAGUUGGAGGACACUAAAAAAAUUUCAGGCUCGCUGGUGAUGCUACAUGGCUUCCUCAUAUUAUAAGAGGCUGAAGAAAGGUUCAAUUCUGACACAAUGCCGAUGGAGAGGACUUGUAGCCAGAAAAGAACUUAGGAACUUGAAAAUGGCUACACGAGAAACUGGCGCACUUAAAUAGGCAAAGGAUAAAGUUUGAAAAACAAGUGGAGAAACUCACAUGGCGCCUCCAACUAGAAAAAAGUUUAAGGGUGAGAUAUAUUUUUUUUGCAGUUAGAUAAAAUAUCGAGGAUGUUAUUGUUCUUUUAUUUUUCACAAACACGCCUCAAAUAUUUCGUUUAAGAAGAUGAUUACUGUUGUUUAUGAAAUUAGUUUGCAGUUUAUCACAAUAAAUGUUAAAAAAACUCA